GGAUUCGUGCUGGUGGGCGCCGCAGACAGACGGACACUCAGGAAUGCAACAGAUGUGCUGCGCGCCCCGAGUGCGGCGCGAGGGCUUCUGAGUGGCACCUCGCAGAGCAGAGCAGACACGACUGCGAUUGCACGCUGUGCACCAGCUGCAGGCUCCCUUCUCACCCCUCAGAAGGGAGCGACGAAGCCAUCGCACGGAUCCUACUGCCAGCACCAAGCGCAGCCAAUAUCCAGCCCUCAGCCAUCAGCAGAGCUGAAGUGGGACCAGGCAGCACAGGAGCCCGUGCGCACCGCACACCAAAUGCACCGAGAGCCGCGCACCGGGCAUCUCAGCCGAGCUCUCCUGCGUGCACGCGGUGGCUGCUUCCCUCCGUAACCCCAUUUUUCAGUUUGCAACUAGGAGGGCUGCGGUGGAGCACCAAACAGAGCUAAAAAGCAAACCAGUGCACGUGUUCCUUUUUAAGGCCAGAUUAGGGAAAAAAAAAAAAAAAAAAAGGAAAGAAAAAAAAAAGGUUCUUUUCUCAUAAUGCAAGACAUGAUAUUUUUCAAAACUGUCUUCUUUAAAACAGAAAUUUCUCUGUAAAUUCAGCGAUGUAAGAAAUUUGCAAAAAAUCCCUUAAAACGCCUUCAAGAAAAA